rnacentral:lncRNA from 1 species
AUCAUUCAGGAAGAAGAAAUUACAUGAGGAGAACUUUCUAAUCAGUAUGCUUAGUGAUCUUGAGAUGACAUCAUACUGGAUGAUCCUAGUGCACCCUAAAUCCAAUAAGUGUUCUUAUGAAAGACAGAAGAGGAGAAGAUACAGAAAAUAGAAGGCUAUUUGAGGAUGGAAGCAGAGCUUGGAGUUAUGCAGCUACAAACCAAAGAAUGCCUUGAACCACCAGCAGCUGAAAGAGCUAGUCAGCAAUACAACUAGGAUUUGAUAUCAGAUUCAUACAAUUCCGAAGACCCUGACCACUAAAUGCAAAAGGUACAUGGCAACAGCUGAUUGCAAUGAGAGAAAAACAACUAAUAAGGCAACAAGCAGGAUACUAAGAUAUUUUCCAAAAUGAAUAGCACUGAUUCUGUGAGGAAUGAACAUUGCCAAACAAGUGUUUUGUUUUGUUUUUCAACUCCUCUAAAAAAUUCACAUAUAUGCAUGCCACUUUCCUGAAAAAUAUCUGCUUCAUAAUUGCCAUAAGAAACUGUAUGGACAACUCUUAAACAUUCUGAAAGUAGUCAGGGAUGGGGGAAAGCAUUUGCUGUUUUAGUCUGUUCCUGGUCUUAUAAUAAAUAUCACAGACUGGGUAAUUUAUGAUUAUAGAAAUGUAUUUCUGAAAGUUCAGGAGUUGGGAAGUUCAAGAUUAUGGCACCAACAUAUUCAUUGUCUGAUGAGGGCCUGUUUCAUAGAUGUCAUUUUGCAUGACUUAAUCAUAUGGUAGGAAAAGCAAAGGGACAAAAUGGACAAAUGCCAUGUUGUCACAUGGCAGAAGAAAUGGAAGAGCCAGGAAGCUCUCAGAAGCUUCCUUUAUUAGGAUAUUAAUCUCAUUCAUGAGUGCACAGCCAUUAUGACUUAAUUGCCUCCAAAGGCCCCACUUCCUCAUCACUUUGAGGAUUAAACUUAAACAUGAAUUUGGAGGAAAUAUAUUCAAACUCUAGGACUAGUUUAAAUGUAGCUAAAAAGGUUUCUUCAUUCUGUAAUCGUUAAUAUGCUAAUAUUUUUGUAAAUAUCCAAGAGGAAGCUAAAGCAUAUAAUAUUCCAAAAUUUAUUUGUUUGUGGAUAUUAUGUUUUCCUCUCAUUCAAUCUCAAGAAAUUAGUGUCCUCAAGAAACACUAUAUAGGAUAAUUGUCUUUCAAGUUCAUCAACUACCGGUUCUUGAUUCUUCAGUAGCUAAUCCUAGAUAGUAAUACUUAACAGAUUAUAAAAACUUGGGUGCUGCUAUAUAAAUGCGCUGAAACUCCCAGGGAACCAAACAUAAGGACUUAAAGAGAGAUGUAACUAGGGAUCAUAAUCAUGAAUUUCAGCUGCUUCUCUAUCUUUGUCAGUGAGCAAAUGACCAUACAAAAUAAGGUAUUCAAUUAUUAAUUCUGUGCCCAUAUCCCGGAAUUUUGCCCAAUAUAUUUGUAAGUUUAGAUAAAUAAGGCACUAAUGCCAGGGAUAUGUAGCAUUAGUUCUGGGUUUAUAAAGGGAUAUUCACAACCUCUUGCCAUCCACAGAAUUUAUCAGCCCAAAGUAAACUAUACUCGUUUGUUAAGGGCAACCUGAAACAUGUUUAAAACUGAGGUAGACUGAAGAGUCAACUAAUUGCAGGAAUCUUUUGUUAUUUGGUUGAAAUGUUCAAACAAGUCCCACUCUGAAUUCUAUUAGAAGUCCAUCAUUGGCUUCUCUCUCUUUCUCACUGUCUUAAAUCAUGUAUUUUAUAACACUAUGAAGAAUGAAGUUCAAAAGAAUAAGCUAAAUUUAAUUAAUUAAAUUAUUUAUUUAUUUAUUUUGGGACAGAGUCUCACUCUGUCACCCAGGCCAGAGUUCAGUUGCACGAUCCUGGCUCACCGCAUCCUUCACCUCCUGGGCUCGAGAUCCUCCUGAAGCAGGGCAUUUCCCUGACCCCUUCAUGGGACUCGUGACAGGGGUGCCCCAUUUACUCAGCCCACUGCUCUCAACUCCUCAAGGGAGGGAGUGUGUAAUUGAAUAAGGCAGGAACUGGAGUACAUGAGUGCUGGAACCAGUGGCCUCUUUGGUGCCAGAAGGAGUGAACUCACCCACUCUGACCUGCUGUGUUCCACCUCUUGCAGGAGAGAGCAUGCAGGUGAGCAGGUAUAGGAGCCAGGAAGAGAGCUCUGGGGUGUUGGCAGGAGCAAACUCCAUGUGGGCCUCAUAGCAGCCCCUGGUGUUAGGGGGGGUGCCUGUGAUUCCUGAAGCCCCAGUGGGCAUAUUACAGUGCUCCUUUAGCUCUGCCAUCUUCAGACAGCUGAAGUGUUAGCAGCUCAGCAUGCCUUUUUGUAUCCACACUCACUCCUGAGCUCUUGUUUGGCAUCCAGGAAAAAUCAGCUCACAGAAACGAAUUGAAGGAUGGUAAAUGCAGAGGAUUUUAUUGCCAAGGAAAGUGGCUCUCAGCAGGAAGGGCAGCUGGGAAGGACAUGUAGCAGGAAGGUUUCUGGCUGGACUCUUCUCCAAAGUUGCACUGUCAAACUGUCUCUCUGAAAUCAAGCUGCUUCUCUCCAACGUCCAACCAUAGUCUCUGAUGCCUAGCUGCUGCUUCUCUUUUGAUGUUCAGCUGCUUCUCUUUUUUGCUAGCUGAGUCUGGGGUUUUUAUGGGCACAGGAUGGGGAACAGGGGAGGUCAUGGGUAAUUUUGUAAAAGGCAACAUUUGAGUGGGAAAACAGGAACGUAUGUUCUCACUUUGGGCUUUGGUUCCAGGCUUGAGGGUGGAGCCCUUGCCAGGGACCUGCCCUCUUUUGCCCAGAAUUUCCCUGCCUCCCUUCCCUAUCACUCCCACCCCAUCACUCCCACCUCAACAUCCUGAGUAGCUGGGAUUAUAGGCGCACACCACCACAUCUGAUUAAUAUUUAAAUUUUUUGUAGAGACAGGGUUUUGUCAUGUUGCCCAGGCUGGUCUCAAACCCUGGGCUCAAGUGAUUUGCCCACCUCAGCCUCCCAAAGUUCUGGGAUUACAGAUGUGAGCCAGUGUGCCUGGCCCUAAAUAAUAUUUAUAUGGGCAUUUUGUAAUUAUUAUUUUUUAAUAAUAUAAAUGUUUCCUUUUUAAUAUGAAUUUUUCAAGAGUUUUAAAAUUGACUGAUUAUUCAUUAAAAUUUAAUGAAGGACAGGAAUUGGCUAUUUUUCUGAAUGACAAAAAUUAGGAAAUUUUUAGAGAGAUGAUGAAUUUAUCCUAGAAUAUAUGGAAAGAGUAAAUCUUGUUAUAUAGAAAAAGCUACUUUCCAAUCCGAAGGAUCUUAGAAUAAUAAAUUUUUUUUUUCUAGUUUCCUUAUAAUUGUUUCAAAGUAAUACUUUAGACCAAAAAUUGUAUAUCUCAGUAGGUGGCCUAUAUGAUAAUUAAAAAAUUAAAAGCUAAGUUAAUUAAAUUUUUAAUUAUUUUAAUUUUUAUUAAUUUUAAUUAUCAAUCUUCAUUGAAGAAUUUUGUCCAAAAAAUGUGGACAAUAUGUGUCAUAAGGAUUAAUCAGCAUAAAAUAGUCCCCAAAGGAAAUUAAAGGACCGAUUAGAUAGUACUAAAAUAACAAUCAUACAAAGUAGAAAGUGGUGUUAUAAGAGAAAUGUAGAUAAAAUAUUGUAAGAAACUAAAGCAGGAAGAUAAUGGUUUGAGUUGUGGGAGAUCAGGGAAGAUUUUUUGGAAAAAGUAACGUUUAAGCUAGAUCUUAGAGAGACAUGACUUAAUAGAAAAGUAGGCAAAAAAAUAUGAAUAACCCUUUCAGAUUACAGGCAAUACAAAUUAUGAUAAAUAUAAAAAAAUUCUUACUUUACUAGUAAUCAAGUAAUUGAAUUAAACAAUUGGAUACCAAUUUUUCUUCAGCAGACUGGCAAAACAUAAGAUGUUAACAAGGGUUUUGAGGGUACAGGGAAGAGGGUAGGCUCAAACUAUGCUGGUAUCAAUGUAUAACCAAGAUCUCCUUUGGAAUACAAUUGUUAUAUAGUCUACAUUCUGUAAAAACUAAACACAUAUGUUUGCCUUUCCACUUUUGGAAAUACAUGGUAGAUAAUCAUGCAAGAAUGUCAAUUGCAGUAUUGUGUUGUAAUUUUUAAAAAUACUCAAAAUAUUUAUCAAUAUAUAACUACAAAUAAAAAUAGUUGGACUAUCAUGCAGACUACAAUGCCUCUAUUGUGGCAUAAUAGUUAAUAAUACAAUCUCUGAGAGCAGAAUAUCUGGAUUUGAAUAAUUUGCUCUCCCUCUAAAUGACCUUGAGCAAAGUACUUACAAUCUUUUUCUCUCUUCUGUAAAAUGGAGAUAACAGCAUUGCCAAUUUAUUAGCUUGUCAUGAUGAUUAAAUGAGAUAAUCCAUAUAUCACACCAAGUACCCACUACAUAAUAAGCAACUAAUUAAAUUUGACUAAUAUUAAUAAUUUCAUUAUUAUUCAUCUUAAUAUCAUGGCAUGACUUCUAAGGUAUAUUAUUAAAUAGAAAAAGAGAAGUUUUAAACUGAGCCAUAGUUUAGAACUUGACUUAAAGCAGACUCACAAAGCAAAUGCUCAUAUCUAGGACAGGUAAAUCUACACGUGUUUAUACACACAUUCACUGUGUUUGGGGAAAAUACACACCAAACUGGAAACACUGGUUGUCUCUGAAGAAGAGACAGGGCUUUGGCAAUAUUCAAAUUAGGCUUUAACUGUUUCUGAAAGUUUCAGUUCUCUAUAAGGAGAAGGUAUUACUUAUGUAAUUUUUAAAAAUUACAUAUUAAGUACUAAAUGACUGAAGCUUCUUAGAAUUGAUGGGGGCAGGCAUCACAUGGGCAGCAAGGCAUUCACAUAAUGGAGAAUCAUGGUCUCCUGUAGAUGUCUAGGAGUGAUAAAAUUAACUACCUUUUAGGUGGUGUAGUUUCCUGGUUGAGCUGAUAAUUAUUAAGUUAAUGAUUAGUAGGUUAUUUCUCAACACUGAAGAGAUUAUUAGUGUUUCAAAGUUUUCACUGUAAUUCAUCUGUAAAACCAUUCAACCUACCUCCAGUACACCUCAGUAAUCUGGUGACAAGAGAGUAUUCUUGCACACUUUAUUUCCUCUUCAGUGAUCUAAUGCCAAUAAUGCCAGCCUAUAGAAACAACAGCCAAUUAUAACAAAAAGCACAUUAAAAAGUCAAAUAUAGCUGAGUAAUAGACAUAAAAAUACCUUAUUAACAUUUUUGUAACACUCUCAACUGAAAUAAACAGACCACUCUCGAUUUUAGCAUCUGGUUCCAAACAAUUCUUGUUUGGGUGAUAACUUUUUAAAAACAAAUGCUGGGCAUCUUUCAUCGACUUUUCAUCAAGUAACAGCUGUUCCUUUAGAACAAAAUGUAUGCAUGUUGGAAGGGUGACUGAUGCUCACUUCUGUUUUGUUCUGUGUGAGAAAGCUUUAUGUUGGGUGCAAUUCAGAAAACAAAUGGUUUCAAAUCUUUUGAAUAGAUGCCAUAGCACAGUUUAAAUGCAGCUUCUUGUGAUUUUUAGAAUAAUUUCAGCCACAAUUUUUACAUUCAAUUUAUAACUAUACUAAGACAUUCUCCUUCAGAACAAAGGCAUUUCUGUUUUCAUGUGCUCUUGGGCAUCUUCGGGUCAUUCAUUAUAUCAAUCAUUUAUCUUCGUAAAGUGUUUGGCUAUGAACAAUUACUUACUACACCAAAACAUGAAAGAAAUAGAUAUAGCUCAUCUGCUCUUGAAUGCAUUUCUACAGAUUCCCUUAGGAUAAUUCCUGUUUCAACUUAAGCUAUUAAAUUUUUUGCUGAAUUCAAAUCACCUAAUCUGCUGAAACAUGUGGAGACAAAUAACCACAGACGUUUGCAUGAAGGUUCAGGUGUAUUUAAGGGCAGCUUAAUUAUAAGACACUAUGAAAUUCUCCUAAUUAAUUUGGAGCUAAAUAUUCUACAUCAAAUAUUUUACAAAACUUAAAGAAAUAUUUACUUUUCACAUGAUUACGAUUUUGAUACUAGGUUAAAAAUGACUUAUAUUGGCAUUUUUUAAACAGUUUAAGACAAAUAAUGUUUUUGAUACUGUUUAUUAUAACAUAUGAAAAGUCUUUAUAUUUAUGCAAAUAUACUCUAUUUUAUUGUCUGUUCAUUUCAUGUUGCAUUUGCAUGCACUCCUGAAUUACUUGUUACUAAAACAUACAGAACAGACAGAAAGUUAAAAUUGGUUAAUUUCUAUCUAAUCUGGAUAAGAUAAACACAAUGAGUGAAAUAAAUCAUUAUGUCAAAUAACAAAAACCUCAUGCAUAGAAACUUCAACAUUUCUGAAUAACAAAAAGUAUAACAUUAUGUAGGGCAAGGUGCCACUUUUGUAUCAACUAGAAAUAAGCCCUGAAUCUGAAUGAUGAAAUUUUAAUAGUAACUGUUGACCGCAGGGCAGAGUUUACUCUCUUGGUCAGAUGCUUUUGUGAAUGACACAGUGUGUCCAGAUCACUUUUCCCUAUAAUCACUUCAAAUUACUUGACUUUUUGAUCUGUUCCUUUUUUCUGUCUCUUUUUUGUCCACAACAGAUAUUCCAAAUAUCCACCGAGUUUUCAAAUACUCCAGUCCAUAAUUGGUCUUCCCAUUCCUAGCAGAAGUACUUUGUCUUCUACUUCCCAGAAUAAUGUUAAUUCUCUUAUUUUAGACUUGCUUGCUUUAAUUUGUAUUUGUUCUUGGCUUUUUUUCUUUCCAUCUCACAGGAUAAGAGGGCAUCUCUUCUUCCAUAUUCAUAAAUACGUUGCCAACAGGAAUUUGUUGUUAUUUACACUUUCUUCUCCUAGACAUUUUAAUUUUACUUACCUUCCCUGAGCACAUGGCAAAGUCAAAACACAAGCAGAAUCUUACUUAUGAAUAGAGGCAGAUUUAUUAAGCCAGGGGUAGGCAAACUAUAGCCAAUAAGCCAAAGCCAGGCUGCCACGGGUUUUUAUAAAUAAAAUUUUAUAGGAACUCAGCCACAGACAUUCCUUUACAUAUUGCCUACAGCUGCUUAAGCACUACAAAGGCAAAGUUGCAUAUUUACAACACAAAUCAUAUGGCCUGCAAGCCUAAAGUAUCUACUAUCGUGCCCUUUAUAGAAAAUGUUUAUCAGCUUUUGUUCUCUUAUCCUAAGUUAUGAGGCUUACAUUUCUGGCCACCUCAUUUGCAUUUGAGUUUCCAGUUUUGAGUUUGUUGUUUUGUAUUCUUGCUUAAAGAGCCCCAAACCCUGACCUCCAAAUUGAAUGUGCUGUAGAUCCCACAAAAUAUGGAUCCAAUCAAGCUGAUGCCAUGUCAUUAUCUGUAGCUUUUAUUCUUUGCCAUCACACACCUUCCUUGAACAGUUAGGCUUCUGCAAAAAAUCUUAAAUAAUCACUGAUAUGGGUUGGUUCUGUGUCUUCACCCAAAUCUCAUCUUGUAGCUCCCAUAAUUUCCACGUGUUAUGGGAAGGAUCCAGUGGGAGAUGACUGAAUCAUGAGGGCACGUAUGUCCCAUGCUGUUCCUGUGAUAGUGAAUGGAUCUCAGGAGAUCUGAUGGUGUUAAAAAUGGGAGUUUCUCCACACAAUCUCUUUUUUGCCUGCUGCCAUCCAUGUAAGAUGUAGCUUACUCCUUCUUGCCUUCCACCAUGAUUAUGAUGCCUCUCCAGCCAUGUGGAACUGUAAGUCCAACAAACCACUUUCUUUCGUAAAUUGCCCAGUUGCAGGUAUGUUUUUAUCAGCAGCAUGAAAAUGAACUAAUACAGUAAAUUGUUACCAGUAG